UACGUAGGGUGCGAGCGUUAAUCGGAAUUACUGGGCGUAAAGGGCGCGCAGGCGGCUUAUCAAGUCAGGCGCGAAAGCCCCGGGCUUAACCUGGGAACUGCGUCUGGGACUGAUGGGCUAGAGUUCGGGAGAGGAGAGUGGAAUUCCCAGUGUAGAGGUGAAAUUCGUAGAUAUUGGGAAGAACACCGGUGGCGAAGGCGGCUCUCUGGACCGAGACUGACGCUGAGGCGCGAAAGCCAGGGGAGCAAACGGG
rnacentral:rRNA from 1 species